CUGUUUUUUUUAAAGGUGCUCUGAGAAUCUCAGUGGUUUCUGGAGGAGCUCUCCAUUUAUCUGAACUCUAACCUGCUGGAAGCUGCAGGGCACCGGUGAGGAAGACUCUCGAGGCUGGUGCUUCCCAACAAGCUGUCUAACAAGCACAACAGCUCCUAUUCAAGGACUUGACUGCCUGUCUCCCGAUUCAUGCCACAGAAUUUUGAGAGACCCUUGUUUCUUUCUACUUUGCUCAUUCUCAUUAUCCUGUUUGCUUUUCUGCAUCCACUCCCCAUAUCACGUCUUGGCGAGUUUUCAUGGAAAUGAAGACCAUGUUGGUAUUUGUGCUCACCCUCAUUGACUGUCUCUUUCUGCUUCACUAGGCUCUGUGUUUUUAUUCGCCGGUGAAUGACCUUGAUUUUAUAACAGCAAGAAUUGUCACAAUCUUGUUCCCACCGAUCUGAAGUGCGUCGU